AGUCGUAACAAGGUUUCCGUAGGUGAACCUGCGGAAGGAUCAUUACUAAAUCCAACAAAACCAUUUAAACCUGUUGAAACGUUGUUUAUUCUUGUGGGAUAUGAUCGGGGUGUCUCAUUCAUAUAUCAUGUGAAGGUGCACCGCGGGAUAUGCCACAAGAGUAGCAAAUUAUAUACACCAUGAGAGAGAUUCACCAAUGACAGUUAUUUUAUACAUCAUAUAUAAAAAGCAUAACUUUUAACAAUGGAUCUCUUGGCUCUU
rnacentral:misc_RNA from 1 species